rnacentral:rRNA from 1 species
GAUGAACGCUGGCGGCGUGCCUAAUACAUGCAAGUCGAGCGAACAGACGAGGAGCUUGCUCCUCUGACGUUAGCGGCGGACGGGUGAGUAACACGUGGAUAACCUACCUAUAAGACUGGGAUAACUUCGGGAAACCGGAGCUAAUACCGGAUAAUAUAUUGAACCGCAUGGUUCAAUAGUGAAAGACGGUUUUGCUGUCACUUAUAGAUGGAUCCGCGCCGCAUUAGCUAGUUGGUAAGGUAACGGCUUACCAAGGCAACGAUGCGUAGCCGACCUGAGAGGAUGAUCGGCCACACUGGAACUGAGACACGGUCCAGACUCCUACGGGAGGCAGCAGUAGGGAAUCUUCCGCAAUGGGCGAAAGCCUGAUGGAGCAACGCCGCGUGAGUGAUGAAGGUCUUCGGAUUGUAAAGCUCUGUUAUUAGGGAAGAACAAAUGUGUAAGUAACUAUGCGCGUCUUGACGGUACCUAAUCAGAAAGCCACGGCUAACUACGUG